rnacentral:misc_RNA from 1 species
UUUCCGUAGGUGAACCUGCGGAAGGAUCAUUACAGAGUUCCUGCCCUCACGGGUAGAUCUCCCACCCUUCUAUAUUUAUACCUUAGUUGCUUUGUCAGGCCGUGGAAACACCAUGGGCUCCGGCUUAUGCGUCCCUGCCAGAGUAAACAAACACUGUUUUUUGUGAAGUCUGAGUACUAUAUAAUAGUUAAAACUUUCAACAACGGAUCUCUUGGUUCUG